rnacentral:tRNA from 1 species
GGCCCAGUGGCGCAAUGGAUAGCGCGUCUGUCUUCGGAUAAUAAGGAUAAUGGGGAUAACAGAAGGUUGUAGGUUCGAGUCCUGCCUGGGUCG